UAUGUACUCCCAUCUCAAAAUUCUUGUGUUAGGUUUGUCUAGAUACGGAUGUAUCUAAUACUAAAACGUGACUUGAUAUAUCUGUAUUUAGAGAAAUGUAAGACAAGAAUUUUGGGGACGGAGGGAGUACAAA
rfam:Triticum urartu cultivar G1812 contig708670, whole genome shotgun sequence.